rnacentral:rRNA from 1 species
GUGAACGCUGGCGGUAGGCCUAACACAUGCAAGUCGAACGGCAGCACAGUAAGAGCUUGCUCUUACGGGUGGCGAGUGGCGGACGGGUGAGGAAUACAUCGGAAUCUACUUUUUCGUGGGGGAUAACGUAGGGAAACUUACGCUGAUACCGCAUACGACCUACGGGUGAAAGCAGGGGAUCCUCGGACCUUGCGCGAUUGAAUGAGCCGAUGUCGGAUUAGCUAGUUGGCGGGGUAAAGGCCCACCAAGGCGACGAUCCGUAGCUGGUCUGAGAGGAUGAUCAGCCACACUGGAACUGAGACACGGUCCAGACUCCUACGGGAGGCAGCAGUGGGGAAUAUUGGACAAAGGGCGCAAGCCUGAUCCAGCCAUACCGCGUGGGUGAAGAAGGCCUUCGGGUUGUAAAGCCCUUUUGUUGGGAAAGAAAAGCAGCAGGUUAAUACCCCGCUGUUCUGACGGUACCCAAAGAAUAAGCACCGGCUAACUUCGUG